GGUCAUUGCAGGUGCUGGUUGAUCUGAGGUGUGCAUGGACUUCCACAGGAACAGGGAGCCGAGCCCCUGGGAAGCGGCACGUUGCAAGGGACACCAAUUAUGUUGUGGAGGACACAGAGCCGCCUGUUCCCGCUCAGGCCGGCUGUCAUGUCGCAGGAUGACCCUCUCUGUCAAACCCAUUCAGCGAAGCGCACGGAAAGCCAGUCUAAUUGGUGUUGGGCAAACAGAUUUUGUCACAAACUUGCAUAGGAAGCUAAGUAGCUGAACGUUCACAUUGUUCAACCCCUGACCUGCAGCUUGGUGCAUUCAGAGACCCCCAUUAUGUCCCGUUCUGUUGAUUAUUCAUCUAUGACCUUGCGAGCUCGGGAAAUUCGGGGCAGCAAUUAAAAUCAAUAUUCUGGCAAUAGA